CGAACCAGAAAGGUAAGUUACUUAGAAGGCCAGAUUGCAUUCCUUGCUUUAUCCUGUCGAAUGCUCCAUCGGUAAACCGUAGUUUUCUGUUCUCUCUCUCUCUCUCUCUCUCGCUCUCGGUUUCAGAUCAAGCAUGACUGGUAGAGGCUGUGAAGGAAUCGCAAGACAGGGGCUCGCUUUCUGAUCUUCAGAAACUCAACGAAGUGAGGGCUUGCUCUGAGUUUGCGACGGCUGCUCCAAGGUUUCAAGAUACGAAGACGAUGAGGGAACCUACAUCUGAUACUCAUUCUGACAUUUACGGAUGUUUUUCAUGUCAAUCGAAGGGGUCUGCUACUACGAAGCAACAAAAGGACGAUCGAGAAAGAGAAGGUUCAGUGGAGACUACUCUGUACAAGUCCCCUAAAUCGGAUGAAAAAUUGGAGUACUGGACGAAGAACAUUGGAAUCGUUCAUCAUCAAAUUUUGAAGAUCAAAGAAGAAGAUUGGCACCUAGGGGAGGAAAUUCGAGAGGGACUUAGCACGAAAGAGAAGCUUGCUGUUCUUCAUCUCACCUCGCAGAUGGAUAGUUUUAUAAUUUCAAGGCCGAUCUUGCCUUCUUCUCCCCUCAGUGGCAAAACUGCCAUUGAAACGAUUCAUUAAGAUAAGACUGGCGAUCGGCGUUGAUACAUUUCUUGGGGUUUAAAAGUUCUUCCCACCUUCCUUUCUUGGACGGAUCACUCGGAAAGCUUGUGUACAGAGAGUAGCGACUGAAUCAAAAGAGUCACAACCGGCAUAUAAUAUAGCUGAGAUUGAUCUUCUUCCUUGUUGAAACAUCAUCUAUAUAUGUUCUUCUGUUACAGUAGGGGAAGAGGAGAGGGGACAUUCAAUAUAAAAUGAAGGUUUAAGUAC